rnacentral:rRNA from 1 species
GAUGAACGCUGGCGGCGUGCCUAAUACAUGCAAGUCGAGCGAACAGACGAGGAGCUUGCUCCUCUGACGUUAGCGGCGGACGGGUGAGUAACACGUGGAUAACCUACCUAUAAGACUGGGAUAACUUCGGGAAACCGGCGCUAAUACCGGAUAAUAUAUUGAACCGCAUGGUUCAAUAGUGAAAGACGGUUUUGCUGUCACUUAUAGAUGGAUCCGCGCCGCAUUAGCUAGUUGGUAAGGUAACGGCUUACCAAGGCAACGAUGCGUAGCCGACCGGAGAGGGUGAUCGGCCACACUGGAACUGAGACACGGUCCAGACUCCUACGGGAGGCAGCAGUAGGGAAUCUUCCGCAAUGGGCGAAAGCCUGACGGAGCAACGCCGCGUGAGUGAUGAAGGUCUUCGGAUCGUAAAACUCUGUUAUUAGGGAAGAACAAAUGUGUAAGUAACUAUGCACGUCUUGACGGUACCUAAUCAGAAAGCCACGGCUAACUACGUGCCAGCCGCCGCGGUAA